CCUACGGGAGGCAGCAGUGGGGAAUAUUGCACAAUGGGGGAAACCCUGAUGCAGCGACGCCGCGUGAGUGAAGAAGUAAUUCGUUAUGUAAAGCUCUAUCAGCAGGGAAGAAAAUGACGGUACCUGAGUAAGAAGCCCCGGCUAACUACGUGCCAGCAGCCGCGGUAAGACGUAGGGGGCAAGCGUUAUCCGGAUUUACUGGGUGUAAAGGGAGCGUAGACGGCAGUGCAAGUCUGGAGUGAAAGGCGGGGGCUCAACCCCCGGACUGCUCUGGAAACUGUACGGCUGGAGUGCAGGAGAGGUAAGUGGAAUUCCUAGUGUAGCGGUGAAAUGCGUAGAUAUUAGGAGGAACACCAGUGGCGAAGGCGGCUUACUGGACUGUAACUGACGUUGAGGCUCGAAAGCGUGGGGAGCAAACAGGAUUAGAGACCCCAGUAGUC
rnacentral:rRNA from 1 species